AACGGAGCGACAAGCACUCGAGGAGUUAAUGAUUACCUUUCUCUUUUGGGAAAAGAUGAUGUAAACCCCCUCAUCAUGUGACACUUUAAUAAAUAACAGAGAGCCGUUAGAAACAAAACACACUAAAGAUUUGAUCUCUGAGGCUAAAGGGACUGCUUUUCAACGAGGGAAGACGACAGAAUAAAAACACACACAUGUGUUGCCACCCAAUGAACGUGACCCCGCCAGCUGUGGACGAGUGCAGCAGCGCCCCGGGAACUGAGCCCUGCUCUGGGACUCAGCUCCUCGGCACCCGCCUGAGACGGAUCGGGGACCAGCUGGAGAAAAGCAGAGAAAACAGAGAAAGCGCAUCUUAUAAAACAGCUUUGAAGAACAGCGAAAGCUUAAUCCGAGGGUUUUACGCGGUGUGCACGGUCAUCCAGAUCACCGCUGUGGUGAUGCUGAUCAGAAAGCGCUAUCUGUAGGCGGCUAUACUAAGAGCGUGAGUCUCUGCAACACCCGGGAAACCAGCAACAGAUGAUGCCUUUGUGGUGCUAAUGGAGAUUGUCAAAGGGACGGGUGCGAUUUCCAUGGAGUGGCCUUGAGAAGAAUAACAGCUGAAAGGAAACACUCAGUAAGAUUUGCAGUGGAAAACAAAAUGCUCACACGAUGCCAGCAAAACAAAAGCAUGAUAUUUUGAUUACCACCUACAGCGGGACACAGGAACAUUACAUCACGACGGGAUCUUGAAGCAGCCUGUGCGGCAUGGUGAGAUUAAGGGAGGAAAGUCAAAACUAUACCAGAAACCGAGGACUCUUCUUUUUUACAACAUAACUUGAUCAUAAUGCGCAAGUCUGGUGCUGGAAACCCUACAGCGCUGUGCAAUGCCAUACAGGUGUACAGUACUUUAACAUCGGUGAAGCAUACCAUUAUUGAUUCAGACUGAAUGGGCAGAGGGAGAAAUAGAUUGGAGUUACAGCAUGUUCCUACUGUACUAUUCACAUAAGCUGUGAAUGUUUUUCAAUCGUUAUUACUGUAAAACUGCGUGCUUUUUUAAAAUGUUUUUUUCCCCUUACUUCAGAUGUUAUCUGAGAUAUUUAUAAUUAUUCUGUGAAAGUCUUUUUGUACAAAUCCGGAAAAUAAAGUUAUUUC